UAAUAUCUUGAUUUAAUCUUGUUUCUGGAUGUUGCUCCCUUUUGCAGCUAUUUCACCAACACACUAGUUCUUCCGGUAGUAAAUGGACCAACAGAGGGUCUCAUGUUGAUAUAUCUCAGCCAUUUCUUUACAGCUUUAGUGGGGUCUGAGUGGUGGGCUCAGCCGUUUGGGAAGUCUAUGCCUCUCGUGAGUUGGGUUCCAUUUCUGAACGAAAUUCCAACCAAUAAAGCCGUGUUAUUCCUGAUGGUAGUUUUUGCUGUUAUUCCAACAGUCUAUUGCAAUAUUAACAAUGUUCAUAAGGUUGUU